GGAUAUGAGGACAAUCCAGUUGCACCAUCUGGCACCCCAUUGAUCACCAGGGUAGAUAGAUGUGAUUUGGCUGGCUAGGUGGGUGCCCCCUUCUUCCCGCACUGCUCCUGUGCAUCCCUCCCAAAGCUGCAUGCCUGGCAGAAGAGGAUGCUCCUCCCUGGUAGAGGACAACUUUUCUUGGGUCAAGGGUAUAUGAGUAGCUGCACUCCCCUGCAGAACCUCCAGACAAGCUUUCAAGAUAAUUCUGUGCUUUCUUCUAGAAGUGUUUUUGUUUUACUUUCAUGUUUUAGAUCUGUUAUCCAU
rnacentral:snRNA from 1 species